rnacentral:rRNA from 1 species
AUGAAGGCCUUCGGGUUGUAAACCUCUUUCAGCAGGGAAGAAGCGCAAGUGACGGUACCUGCAGAAGAAGCGCCGGCUAACUACGUGCCAGCAGCCGCGGUAAUACGUAGGGCGCAAGCGUUGUCCGGAAUUAUUGGGCGUAAAGAGCUCGUAGGCGGCUUGUCGCGUCGGUUGUGAAAGCCCGGGGCUUAACCCCGGGUCUGCAGUCGAUACGGGCAGGCUAGAGUUCGGUAGGGGAGAUCGGAAUUCCUGGUGUAGCGGUGAAAUGCGCAGAUAUCAGGAGGAACACCGGUGGCGAAGGCGGAUCUCUGGGCCGAUACUGACGCUGAGGAGCGAAAGCGUGGGGAGCGAACAGGAUUAGAUACCCUGGUAGUCCACGCCGUAAACGGUGGGCACUAGGUGUGGGCAACAUUCCACGUUGUCCGUGCCGCAGCUAACGCAUUAAGUGCCCCGCCUGGGGAGUACGGCCGCAAGGCUA